UGGUAGUGUAUUGGACAACCAUGGCAGUCACGGGUAACGGAGAAUUAGGGUUCGAUUCCGGAGAGGGAGCCUGAGAAACGGCUACCACAUCUAAGGAAGGCAGCAGGCGCGUAAAUUACCCAAUCCCGAUUCGGGGAGGUAGUGACAAGAAAUAGCAACUCGUGCGGGUUUCCGUUACGGGAUUGCAAUGAGAUAAGUCCAAAUCCGUAAACGAUUAACAAUUGGAGGGCAAGUCUGGUGCCAGCAGCCGCGGUAAUUCCAGCUCCAAUAGCGUAUACUUAAGUUGUUGCAGUUAAAAAGCUCGUAGUUGAAAUUCGAGUCAGUUACUAGUUGGCUUUUCGUCAGUUAGUUAAUUGAUUCUCCGUCUACAAUCCCUUUUGCGCUUUAGGGUUGCAGCUGGGCGAGUAGACAAUUUACCUUGAAAAAAUUAGAGUGUUCCAGGCAGGUCUUCGCCGGAAUACAUUAGCAUGGAAUAAUGGAAUAGGACUUGGGUCUUUUGUUGGUUUUAGGACUUGAGUAAUGAUUAAUAGGGACAGAUGGGGGCAUUAGUAUUUAAUUGUCAGAGGUGAAAUUCUUGGAUUUAUUAAAGACUAACUUAUGCGAAAGCAUUUGCCAAGGAUGUUUUCAUUAAUCAAGAACGAAAGUUAUGGGAUCAAAGACAAUCAGA
rnacentral:rRNA from 1 species